AGUGACAAAGUUCAACGGCCGCGGUACCCUAACCGUGCGAAGGUAGCAUAAUCACUUGUUCUUUAAAUGAGGACUUGUAUCAACGGCACUACGAGGGCUAUACUGUCUCCUUUUUCUAAUCAGUGAAACUGAUCUCCCCGUGAAGAAGCGGGGAUCAAAAUAUAAGACGAGAAGACCCCAUGGAGCUUUAAACUUACCACACACCUCUGUGGUACCACACCAUUUUACACAAGAGACCUGCGUGCUAGUUUUAGGUUGGGGGGACCACGGAGUAUAAUUAAACCUCCACAACAAAUGGGCUAAUACCCUUAUCCACGAGACACAACUCUAAGAAUUACUAAACUAAUGCUUAUGACCCGAUAUUCGAUCAAUGAACCAAGUUACCCUGGGGAUAACAGCGCAAUCUACUUCAAGAGCCCCUAUCGACAAGUAGGUUUACGACCUCGAUGUUGGAUCAGGGUAUCCCGGUGGUGCAGCCGCUACCGAUGGUUCGUUUGUUCAACGAUUAAAACCCUACGUGA
rnacentral:rRNA from 1 species